CUUCCUAACGGCUUCACAAGGACAUCCAGGGCAAUGAUGCUUCAUUCUGGCUUGCUGGUGAACCCACUGGGCAGGAAGCCUCAGGAUAAGUGACAGGUAGGUCUUAGUGUUGCUCUUGACUCAAUGACAAGGUUUCAGGCUGCCCAGG
rfam:Tursiops truncatus cont1.177566, whole genome shotgun sequence.